CAACGACAACGUCGACUGCUGCCGGCUGAGGGCUGCUGCUGCUGCUGCUGGCUGACUGCGAGCAGUCGUCAGUCAGUUGGCGAAGAAACUGGUAGCGUCGGUGUUGCGAGCCAACAAAAGGCUGGCAGCUGGCAGCUGGGCAGCUGGCACAGUCACCGGCUCUGCCAGUGCCACGAAUGUUGUGUGUGUCUGUUGGCCAUAGGGCACGGGGCAGUGCUUUGGAUUGGCUUUGGCUUUGACUUUUGAGCGACGCGUAGCCAGCCAAGAAAAGUGGCCAGCCAACCAGUCAGUCAGCCAGCCAGCCACCGUACCAGCGAGCCAGCGAAUCAGCCAGCCAACAACAGCAAUUACUGGCCAAGAGGUGGUGAUGGUAAAGGUCCAAGAUGAUGAUGAGUACGCGCCAACAGACGUUGCCAAAGCAGUGCAGGAUGACAGUGAAGGAAUAUAUUUUUUGGCCGCAAACGCAGUUUGAUUAGCCAACUCAAACAGUGGUUUGACCCUGGCCAAGAUCGCCGCAAUGGACGCCAAUUGACAGGCACAGACACACUCGUACACACCCCACACACACACACAUGGAUUGGCACAGUGGUGCAGUGGAGCAGCAGCAACAGCUUCGCAGGAUGCGUUCGUCUCGAUUAUACAGCUUAAAAAAAAAAAAAAAACAAUAACAACAACAAAAACAAAUAAAAACGUGUCGCGCCGCAGCAACAACAACCAAACGCGCUGUGCUGUAUACGUGUGUGUGUGCGUGCGUGUGUGUGUGUGUGUGUGUGUGUGUGAGAACCUUUUGAGCUGACCAACGUGCGCCGUCAACUUUGUGGCCAGUGCCAAAAAACGAGGUGCGCCAAUGGAGCAACUGGCGUGAAGCCCAGAAAAAAAGUGCAGAGCCAGCAGCAACAGCAGCAGCAGCAGCAGCAGCAGUAACAACAGCAGCAACAAUUGCUGCUGCAACAACAGCAAGCUUUGUUUUAGCUGGCCGCUAAUGAUUUGCGAUGUCAGCGAUGUCCGCAAUGAAAUUUUGGCGCAAACCAAACGCGUGCGAAACCUCAAAGGAUGCGCAUCACGCGCAGAGGUAGCUACGAAUAUCAAGCAUACGCCGCGUGUAACUCAAAAACUUAAAAUACUACAAUUAUUCAAUAUUCAACUCUUACGUAGUGACUAGUGCUUAAACUUAUAAACAAUAUUUCAAAUAUUAAACACUAAAAUUAAAAUAAAUAAUCAAUAACAAGAAUAUAUAGUAGCCAACGUAGCGUCUAUGCCAAUUAUAUAAUCAAUUACAAGCAACUAUGAUAUAACCCAACACAUUAUAUAAACAUUAGUGCAAUAUCUAUACAUAAAUAAUUAAUCGUUAUGUAUAUAUUUAUACAUACAAUUAAUAUUGGUACUAAUUGGUAACUGACAGCACUCGUAGACAAUUUAUAUAUAAAUCAAUGAAAUUAUCUGCGUGGCUUUUGUGCAUCGCUGCGAGAGGAUUCGUUGAAAGCAACAGCAGGAAGAGGAGGAGCAGAGGCAGGAGGAUAACUGAGCGGUUCAUAGAGUGUCAAAAUGCGCUGCGUUAAAGGAGCCUCGUUGACCAAUUGGCAGCCACGGCCGCUGCAGCCUGUCCUCGGUCUGACCAGCCAAUGGCAGCGCAGCGGUUGAAAGUUCAAGUCGGCGGCAGGCAGAGUAAUGCACUUGGCAAACGCUCAAAGCUGACAGCAAUUCGCACACACACACACACGCAUAUAUGCAGAAACACCACUGUACACACAUACACGCACACAAGCAUAGUUUAAGAUGAGAAACAGAGAGGGAGCUACGAUUGCUGGGCUCACACGCGCAUGAGGAAAACGAUGAUAAUAAAUCACGCAUACGCCUGUUGGCACAGCAAGAACUAUGCUCCUACGACUGUGCUUGUGUGUGUCCCUGUGUAAGUGAGUGAGUCUCAGUGUGUGUGUGUGUCAAGACUUGCCCAGGCAGUUGGCCAACUGCAUUGCGCUGCUCGUUUUUAGCCCGGCUGGAGCGAACGUUGGCCGCAAGACAAUUGCACGAACGAUGCCUUCUUUGCAGGCAACGCAUUGGCCGGACGAAAUGCGCCCGAACGACCAAUCAGAGCGCAGCUUGUGCGCAACGCCCUUGGCCAAACAGAAUUCGGCGCCAACUAGCACAGCGAUGCCAGGACCCAGCGCCAAAUAACAUUUUGUAUAUAUAUAUUAUUCUUUUGAUUUUAGUUUUUAUCUCUCAGCUAUUCUAAGUAAAUUUGCCCGAAGCUUAUGCCUAUGCAAUAACAGCUAGCGUGGGCGUGAAUAGCUUAUCUACGAAUAUAUGAUAUAUAUGUAGACUUAAUUAAGAAUUUCAAAUAUGAUGAUUGCAAAAUGCGUAA